CGGGGAAUCUUGCACAAUGGGGGCAACCCUGAUGCAGCGACGCCGCGUGAGCGAUGAAGCCCUUCGGGGCGUAAAGCUCUUUCGACCGGAACGAUAAUGACGGUACCGGGAGAAGAAUCUGCGGCUAACUACGUGCCAGCAGCCGCGGUAAUACGUAGGCAGCAAGCGUUGUUCGGAGUUACUGGGCGUAAAGAGUGCGUAGGCGGUUUUCUAAGUUCGGUGUGAAAUCUCCCGGCUUAACUGGGAGGGUGCGCCGAAGACUGGGAAGCUGGAGUGUGGGAAAGGCAGGCGGAAUUCCUGGUGUAGCGGUGAAAUGCGUAGAUAUCAGGAGGAACACCGGCGGUGUAGACGGCUUGCUAGACCAUAACUGACGCUGAGGCACGAAAGCGUGGGUAGCAAACA
rnacentral:rRNA from 1 species